AGGACGAACGCUGGCGGCGCGCUUAACACAUGCAAGUCGAGCGAGAACCUGGCCUUCGGGCCUGGGGAAAGCGGCGAACGGGUGAGUAACACGUGGGUAACCCACCCUUGGUACCGGGAUAGCCCGAGGAAACUCGGAUUAAUACCGGAUGGCCCAACAGCUCUUCGGGGCGGUUGGAAAAGGUAGCUUCGGCCUCCGACCAAGGACGGGCCCGCGGCGGAUUAGCUUGUUGGUGAGGUAACGGCCCACCAAGGCGACGAUCCGUAGCUGGUCUGAGAGGACGAUCAGCCACACUGGGACUGAGACACGGCCCAGACUCCUACGGGAGGCAGCAGUGGGGAAUCUUGCGCAAUGGGCGAAAGCCUGACGCAGCGACGCCGCGUGGGGAAGAAGGCUUUCGGGUUGUAAACCCCUUUCAGGAAGGACGAAGCCACUCGGGUGAAUAGCCCAGAGGGUGACGGUACUUCCAGAAGAAGCCCGGCUAACUACAUGCCAGCAGCCGC
rnacentral:rRNA from 1 species